UACGUAGGGCGCGAGCGUUGUCCGGAAUCAUUGGGCGUAAAGCGCGUGUAGGCGGUCCGGUAAGUCCGCUGUGAAAGUCGAGGGCUCAACCCUCGAAUGCCGGUGGAUACUGUCGGGCUUGAGUACGGGAGAGGCGAGUGGAAUUCCUGGUGUAGCGGUGAAAUGCGCAGAUAUCAGGAGGAACACCGAUUGCGAAGGCAGCUCGCUGGAACGUUACUGACGCUGAGACGCGAAAGCGUGGGGAGCAAACAGG
rnacentral:rRNA from 1 species